UACAGAGGGGGCAAGCGUUAUUCGGAAUUAUUGGGCGUAAAGGGCGCGUAGGCGGCUUGGCAAGUGGAAGGUGAAAUCCCUCGGCUCAACUGAGGAACUGCCUUCCAGACUGCUUUGCUUGAGUCCGGGAGAGGUGAGUGGAAUUCCCAGUGUAGCGGUGAAAUGCGUAGAGAUCAGGAAGAACACCGGUGGCGAAAGCGCUCUGCUAGGCCGCAACUGACACUGAGGGACGAAAGCUAGGGGAGCGAAUGGG
rnacentral:rRNA from 1 species